rnacentral:rRNA from 1 species
CCUACGGGUGGCAGCAGUGGGGAAUAUUGCACAAUGGGGGAAACCCUGAUGCAGCGACGCCGCGUGAGUGAAGCAGUAUUUCGGUAUGUAAAGCUCUAUCAGCAGGGAAGAAAAUGACGGUACCUGCUUAAGAAGCACCGGCUCACUACGUGCCAGCAGCCGCGGUCAUACGUAGGGGGCAAGCGUUAUCCGGAUUUACUGGGUGUAAAGGGAGCGUAGACGGCAGCACAAGUCUGGAGUGAAAUGCCGGGGCUUAACCCCGGAACUGCUUUGGAAACGGUGCAGCUAGAGUGCAGGAGAGGUAAGUGGAAUUCCUAGUGUAGCGGGGAAAUGCGUAGAUAUUAGGAGGAACACCAGGGGCGAAGGCGGCUUACUGGACUGUAACUGACGUUGAGGCUCGAAAGCGUGGGGAGCAAACAGGAUUAGAUACCCUUGUAGU